rnacentral:lncRNA from 1 species
AUGAAUUGUGUUGUAGUAUGAAUUGUGGUAAAUGUACAUUGUUACUAUUUUUUUUUUUUUUGAGAAAACAUUGUUACUAUGUUGUCGCUACUUGUAGUGUGUUUUACUAUACUCAUGAAAGCAUUGAUAUCCAUGACCAUGAAUUGUGGAAAAAGAAAGCUGAGGAGUGUUUAUAGCAUAAGCACUUAAAAAUUCAAAAUUGAACAAGUGUGAAGAAAAUAUGGUCGACUUGAUGUGUAAUUGCAAUUUGAAGUGUUCAUGCCUUAGCAAUCAUCGGC